GAAAUGCGAUAAGUAGUGUGAAUUGCAGAAUUCAGUGAAUCAUCGAAUCUUUGAACGCACAUUGCGCCCUUUGGUAUUCCAAAGGGCAUGCCUGUUCGAGCGUCAUUUGUACCCUCAAGCUUUGCUUGGUGUUGGGCGUCUUGUCUCCAGUUCGCUGGAGACUCGCCUUAAAGUAAUUGACAGCCGGCCUACUGGUUUCGGAGCGCAGCACAAGUCGCGCUCUCUUCCAGCCAAGGUCAGCAUCCACAAAGCCUUUUUUCAACUUUUGACCUCGGAUCAGGUAGGGAUACCCGCUGAACUUAAGC
rnacentral:misc_RNA from 1 species